AUUGAACGCUGGCGGCAUGCCUUACACAUGCAAGUCGAACGGUAACGGGCCUUCGGGUGCCGACGAGUGGCGAACGGGUGAGUAAUACAUCGGAACGUGCCCGAUCGUGGGGGAUAACGAGGCGAAAGCUUUGCUAAUACCGCAUACGAUCUACGGAUGAAAGCAGGGGACCGCAAGGGCUUGCGCGGACGGAGCGGCCGAUGGCAGAUGAGGUAGUUGGUGGGAUAAAAGCUUACCAAGCCGACGAUCUGUAGCUGGUCGGAGAGGAUGAUCAGCCACACUGGGACUGAGACACGGCCCAGACUCCUACGGGAGGCAGCAGUGGGGAAUUUUGGGCAAUGGGGGCAAGCCUGAUCCAGCCAUGCCGCGUGCAGGAUGAAGGCCUUCGGGUUGUAAACUGCUUUUGUACGGAACGAAAAGCCUUCUUUUAAUACAGGAGGGUCAUGACGGUACCGUAAGAAUAAGCACCGGCUAACUACGUG
rnacentral:rRNA from 1 species